UACGGGGGGGGCAAGCGUUGUUCGGAAUUACUGGGCGUAAAGGGUUCGUAGGUGGCCAACUUAGUCAGACGUGAAAUCCCUCAGCUUAACUGGGGAACUGCGUCUGAUACUGGAUGGCUCGAGUGCAGGAGAGGAACGCGGAAUUCCAGGUGUAGCGGUGAAAUGCGUAGAUAUCUGGAGGAACACCGGUGGCGAAGGCGGCGUUCUGGUCCAAUUCUGACGCUGAGGCGCGAAAGGUAGGGGAGCAAACAGG
rnacentral:rRNA from 1 species